rnacentral:rRNA from 1 species
UUCCGGUUGAUCCCGCCAGAGGCCACUGCUAUCAGAGUUCGAUUAAGCCAUGCGAGUCGAGAGGUGCAAGACCUCGGCAUACUGCUCAGUAACACGUGGACAAUCUAACCUACGGAAGGGGAUAACCCCGGGAAACUGGGGAUAAUACCCUAUAGACUAUGGAUGCUGGAAUGCUCUGUAGCCGAAAGGUCCGCCGCCGUAGGAUGGGUCUGCGGCCGAUUAGGUUGUUGUUGGGGUAACGACCCAACAAGCCUGUAAUCGGUACGGGUUGUGGGAGCAAGAGCCCGGAGAUGGAUUCUGAGACACGAAUCCAGGCCCUACGGGGCGCAGCAGGCGCGAAAACUCUACAAUGCGGGAAACCGUGAUAAGGGAACUCUGAGUGCCCGUAAAAUCAGGCUGUCCAUCAGUUUAAAAAACUGGUGAGGAAAGGGCCGGGCAAGACCGGUGCCAGCCGCCGCGGUAAUAC